UUUCGACAGUUGUAUCAAUUCUUAGCUUAAGGCAACAAUGGGGUUUUGGUAUUUGUCACGGUGUUAGAUGUAAUUUUUAGUGUCGGGUUUUUGUUAUCGUAUCCACAGGGAUUGUAAGAUAUCACCGCCGUUCGAUGGUUGUAUUAAUUCUAGCUUUAGGUACCAAUAGGGUUUUGGUUGUUGUCAUGUUUUCUUGCAUAAAAAUGUAAUAAAAUGCGGUAAAAGUUAUGGUUUGAAUAUUUGAGAAAUAUUGCCAAAGUUAGGG
rnacentral:lncRNA from 1 species